rnacentral:tmRNA from 1 species
GGGGGUGUUUUAAUUUGAUAGCUGAUUUUUUUAAAUCUCGCAAGCAGAGCUCUAAAAAUCUCUUUAAACUUUUUAGGCAUCAUAUAAAUGCCAACAUUUUAGGCAAGGCAAAACAAAGUUUGGUUAAUUUAGCCAACGCUUUUAAUUUUGCGCCUGCUUACGCAGUAGCUUAAAACCUAUUGCCAUCCAAUUAGCUGAUUCUUGCUUGAGCUAAAUUGGGUGUUAUAUUCAGCAAGAUAGUUAAACAGACGCCCGGCUGUUUAAUGAAUUUAUGGGCUUAAGCCAAGGCUGUUUUGUUAGUUUUUUAGGCCUUGGCUGAAUCUUAAAAGCUAACUAAACUUGUAGACAGAUUUAAAAUUAUUUGUUAGACGCCGGUGAAAUUCCGACCACCUCCACCA